rnacentral:tRNA from 1 species
GGCGGCAUAGCCAAGUGGUAAGGAAGAGGUCUGCAGAACCUCUCUCACCGGUUCCAAUACCGUUGCCGCCUCCA